CAGCAGCCGCGGUAAUACGGAGGGGGCUAGCGUUGUUCGGAAUUACUGGGCGUAAAGCGCACGUAGGCGGCUUUGUAAGUUAGAGGUGAAAGCCCGGAGCUCAACUCCGGAAUUGCCUUUAAGACUGCAAAGCUAGCAGGUGAGAGAGGUGAGUGGAAUUCCGAGUGUAGAGGUGAAAUUCGUAGAUAUUCGGAAGAACACCAGUGGCGAAGGCGGCUCACUGGCUCAUACUGGACGCUGAGGUGCGAAAGCGUGGGGAGCAAACAGGAUUAGAGACCCCUGUAGUCCCUGUCUCUUAUAC
rnacentral:rRNA from 1 species